CCUAAUUUUAUUUUUUCAUUUCUCAUAUUGAUGUUGUGAUGUGAUGAAUUCCUUAAUUAUGUCUAGGCAACUCAAUUAUGAAUCAAAAAGUAAUUUUUUUUUUUGUUGUCUUUCCAAAUAUAAUAUUGGUAUUUAAUUGCCUUGAUUGCCCAAGUACUUGCUUGUUUAUCAUUUUGGAAGUGCUAUUGAUGGAAAGUAGUGCUUAUGAAUUGAUAUUUCUUCUCUCAAAUAAACCUCUAAUGUUCAUUCACGACUCAAUUGAAUUGAAUUUAGCUAAGAAUGAUUUUGUGAUUUUUUUUGGAUAGUUUGUUUCUUAUGAUUGCACUGUUAUAUGGGAUGCUCAACCAGUGAAAUGGGCCAUGAGAUUGAGGGUGGCUUUGCAUCUGACACAAGCUCUGGAGUACUGUAGCAGCAAAGGGCGUGCAUUGUAUCACGAUCUCAAUGCCUACAGGGUUUUAUUUGAUCAGGAGACCAACUAUGUUCCGAUUACGAGAGGAAACAGAGUUGUCCUAAUGAUUAACGGGUAGUCAUCCACCACCCAAGAUUCCUGUUCCACUCCCUCCAUCUCGUUCUACAAAG